rnacentral:rRNA from 1 species
CCAGAGAACUUAGCAGAGAUGCCUUGGUGCCUUCGGGGAACUCUGAGACAGGUGCUGCAUGGCUGUCGUCAGCUCGUGUUGUGAAAUGUUGGGUUAAGUCCCGCAACGAGCGCAACCCUUAUCCUUUGUUGCCAGCGGCUCGGCCGGGAACUCAAAGGAGACUGCCGGUGAUAAACCGGAGGAAGGUGGGGAUGACGUCAAGUCAUCAUGGCCCUUACGGCCAGGGCUACACACGUGCUACAAUGGCGCAUACAAAGAGAAGCGACCUCGCGAGAGCAAGCGGACCUCAUAAAGUGCGUCGUAGUCCGGAUUGGAGUCUGCAACUCGACUCCAUGAAGUCGGAAUCGCUAGUAAUCGUAGAUCAGAAUGCUACGGUGAAUACGUUCCCGGGCCUUGUACACACCGCCCGUCACACCAUGGGAGUGGGUUGCAAAAGAAGUAGGUAGCUUAACCUUCGGGAGGGCGCUUACCACUUUGUGAUUCAUGACUGGGGUGAAGUCGUAACAAGGUAAGCGUAGCGAG